rnacentral:rRNA from 1 species
UACGGAGGGGGCUAGCGUUGUUCGGAAUUACUGGGCGUAAAGCGCACGUAGGCGGACCAGUUAGUUGGGGGUGAAAUCCCGGGGCUCAACCUCGGAACUGCCUCCAAAACUGCUGGUCUGGAGGUCGAGAGAGGUGAGUGGAAUUCCGAGUGUAGAGGUGAAAUUCGUAGAUAUUCGGAGGAACACCAGUGGCGAAGGCGGCUCACUGGCUCGAUACUGACGCUGAGGUGCGAAAGCGUGGGGAGCAAACAGG